rnacentral:rRNA from 1 species
AGUGAACGCUGGCGGUAGGCCUAACACAUGCAAGUCGAACGGCAGCACAGUAAGAGCUUGCUCUUACGGGUGGCGAGUGGCGGACGGGUGAGGAAUACAUCGGAAUCUACUUUUUCGUGGGGGAUAACGUAGGGAAACUUACGCUAAUACCGCAUACGACCUACGGGUGAAAGCAGGGGAUCUUCGGACCUUGCGCGAUUGAAUGAGCCGAUGUCGGAUUAGUUAGUUGGCGGGGUAAAGGCCCACCAAGGCGACGAUCCGUAGCUGGUCUGAGAGGAUGAUAAGCCGCACUGGAACUGGGACACGGUCCAGACUCCUACGGGAGGCAGCAGUGGGGAAUAUUGGACAAUGGGCGCAAGCCUGAUCCAGCCAUACCGCGUGGGUGAAGAAGGCCUUCGGGUUGUAAAGCCCUUUUGUUGGGAAAGAAAAGCAGCAGGUUAAUACCCCGCUGUUCUGACGGUAACCAAAGAAUAAGCACCGGCUAACUUCGUG